AGAGUUUGAUCCUGGCUCAGAACGAACGCUGGCGGCAGGCCUAACACAUGCAAGUCGAACGCCCCUUCUGGACAGUGGCGCACGGGUGAGUAACGCGUGGGAACGUACCUUUUAGUACGGAACAACCAUUAGAAAUGAUGGCUAAUACCGUAUAGUCCCUCCGGGGUAAAGAUUUAUCGCUAAAAGAUCGGCCCGCGUCCAAUUAGCUAGUUGGUAAGGUAAUGGCUUACCAAGGCGACGAUUGGUAGCUGGUUUGAGAGGAUGAUCAGCCACACUGGAACUGAGACACGGUCCAGACUCCUACGGGAGGCAGCAGUGGGGAAUAUUGCGCAAUGGAGGAAACUCUGACGCAGCCAUGCCGCGUGAGUGAAGAAGGCCUUCGGGUUGUAAAGCUCUUUUACCUGUGAUGAUAAUGACAGUAGCAGGAGAAAAAGCUCCGGCUAACUUCGUGCCAGCAGCCGCGGUAAUACGAAGGGAGCGAGCGUUGUUCGGAAUUACUGGGCGUAAAGCGUGCGUAGGCGGUUUAGCAAGUUAGAAGUGAAAGCCCUGGGCUCAACCUAGGAAUUGCUUUUAAAACUGCUAAACUAGAAUCUCGGAGGGGAUGGUGGAAUUUCCAGUGUAGAGGUGAAAUUCGUAGAUAUUGGAAGGAACACCAGUGGCGAAGGCGACCAUCUGGACGAGUAUUGACGCUGAGGCACGAAAGCGUGGGGAGCAAACAGGAUUAGAUACCCUGGUAGUCCACGCCGUAAACGAUGUAAACUAGCCGUUGGACCUUAGGUUUCAGUGGCGCAGCUAACGCACUAAGUUUACCGCCUGGGGAGUACGGCCGCAAGGUUAAAACUCAAAGGAAUUGACGGGGACCCGCACAAGCGGUGGAGCAUGUGGUUUAAUUCGAUGCAACGCGCAGAACCUUACCAGCCCUUGACAUCCCGAUUGGGAGGAGCAGAGAUGCACCUCUUCAUUUAGUUGGAUCGGUGACAGGUGCUGCAUGGCUGUCGUCAGCUCGUGUCGUGAGAUGUUGGUUAAGUCCCGCAACGAGCGCAACCCCUGUUAUCAGUUGCCAUCAGUUCGGCUGGGCACUCUGAUGAGACUGCCGGUGAUAAGCCGGAGGAAGGCGGGGAUGACGUCAAGUCCUCAUGGCCCUUAUGGGCUGGGCUACACACGUGCUACAAUGGCAGAUACAAUGAGCAGCCAACCCGCGAGGGUGAGCUAAUCUUUAAAAUCUGUCUCAGUUCGGAUUGUUCUCUGCAACUCGAGAGCAUGAAGUCGUAACAAGGUA
rnacentral:rRNA from 1 species